UUUCUCGAUGUGGGCUUGAACCACUGACCUCUGACUAGUAGACAAAUUUUCUACCAUAUGAACUACCAAAAA
rnacentral:tRNA from 11 species